GGGCCGUCGUGGGCCGCGGAGGGCCUAACCCCGGGCUGCUGGCGUUGGGGCCUCGGCUAGAUGAAGAUGGUCACCAAAAUUUACUGUGAUUUUUGAGAAAAGUUUUAUGAAAUCUGACCUCAUCUUAGGUCAGAGUCAAGGAAUCCCAGACAACUGUAUCCAUUUUGGAGCUAAGGCAGAUUUCAGUUAAACAGAUUAUUUUUACUAUCCCACAUUUGUUUCAUUGUUCCCACACUUGAUAGUUUGGUCUGGAUUCUCACUCUUUUCAGAUUUGCAUUUAUGUAUAGAAGGAGAUGAAAAUGAACUCCUUUUUUUGGGGGAGGGGGAGCCGUACCCACAGCAUGUGGAAGUUCCUGGGCCAGGGACUGAACUUGUGCCGCAGCAGUGACCUGAGCUGCUGCAUUGACAGUGCCAGAUCCUUAACCCUCUGCACCGCAAGAGAACUCCCAAGAUGAACUCAUAAAAGCACAUUUGAUGUGGAAUCAGAUUGAUAUGAGAGCAACUACAGAUUAAGAAAAAGAAUUUUGUCGUUGAAAAAUGCAGUCUUCUAUCAUGUUUAUGAUAUA